GAUGUGCGAGCCGGCUCUGCCGUGUCCUGCGGGAACCACGUGAAGGCCAGCAGCCAGUGGGUCGCCUUCAGUGCCGACACGACAGGUGUGCUGGGCAUCGUGCCACUGGAGGGCCAGAAUGGAGACAAGAGGACAGUAUCUCAGCUCUGCUGCCACUCAGAUGUGGUGACAGACUUUGACUUCUCGCCAUUCGAUCAGUUCCUGCUGGCCACGGGCUCUGCCGAUGAAACGGUGAAGGUGUGGCGG